rnacentral:rRNA from 1 species
GAGUAACGCGUGGGUAACCUGCCUUAUACAGGGGGAUAACAGUCAGAAAUGGCUGCUAAUACCGCAUAAGCGCACAGAGCUGCAUGGCUCAGUGUGAAAAACUCCGGUGGUAUAAGAUGGACCCGCGUUGGAUUAGCUAGUUGGUGGGGUAACGGCCCACCAAGGCGACGAUCCAUAGCCGGCCUGAGAGGGUGAACGGCCACAUUGGGACUGAGACACGGCCCAGACUCCUACGGGAGGCAGCAGUGGGGAAUAUUGCACAAUGGGGAAACCCUGAUGCAGCGACGCCGCGUGAGCGAUGAAGUAUUUCGGUAUGUAAAGCUCUAUCAGCAGGGAAGAAAAUGACAGUACCUGACUAAGAAGCACCGGCUAAAUACGUGCCAGCAGCCGCGGUAAUACGUAUGGUGCAAGCGUUAUCCGGAUUUACUGGGUGUAAAGGGAGCGUAGACGGAGUGGCAAGUCUGAUGUGAAAACCCG